ACGCUCGACACCUACGGGAGGCAGCAGUGGGGGAUAUUGCACAAUGGAGGAAACUCUGAUGCAGCGACGCCGCGUGAGGGAAGACGGUUUUCGGAUUGUAAACCUCUGUCUUCAGGGACGAAAUGAAUGACGGUACCUGAGGAGGAAGCUCCGGCUAACUACGUACCAGCAGCCGCGGUAAUCUGAGCGGGCUGGCAAGGC
rnacentral:rRNA from 1 species